rnacentral:rRNA from 1 species
GACGUAGGGUGCGAGCGUUGUCCGGAUUUAUUGGGCGUAAAGAGCUCGUAGGCGGCUCGUCGCGUCAGCUGUGAAAACCCGCAGCUUAACUGUGGGCUUGCAGCUGAUACGGGCGGGCUAGAGUUCGGUAGGGGAGACUGGAAUUCCUGGUGUAGCGGUGAAAUGCGCAGAUAUCAGGAGGAACACCGGUGGCGAAGGCGGUUCUCUGGGCAUUACCUGACGCUGAGGAGCGAAAGUGUGGGGAGCGAACAGG